rnacentral:rRNA from 1 species
UGAAGCAACAAAGGGCACAUAGUGGAUGCCUUGGCACAGAAAGCCGAUGAAGGACGCGUAAGGCUGCGAUAAGCGUGGAAAAGCUGCCUAAAAGCGUUUGUAUUCCACGAUUUCCGAAUGGGGAAACCCAUCUUGAUUUACAUCAAGAUACAAUACAGUAAAUAAAUAGCUGUAUUGGGGUAAGUCAGCAAACUGAAACAUCUCAGUAGCUGGAGGAAAAGAGACAGACAUGCUAUUCCCUGAGUAGUGGCGAGCGAAAUGGGAAAAGCCCAAAUCUACAAGUAUUAGGCGUCAUUCUGAGUUUGAUUUUUAUCAAAUAAGGUUUGAUGUCUGCUGUUUUGGCAGUGUUACUUGUAGAGGUUGUAGGAUGAUUUCGUUAGUUGUCCAAAAACGACUAGAGUAAGUUACAAAAUAUCGAUGUAGCCGAACAUAGCUGGAAUGCUAGAUCAUAGAGCGUUAAAGUCGCGUAGGUUAAACAUCGAUAUCUUACUGGAAAUCAAUCCUGAGUACUACCAAAUAGGUGAAAGUUGGUAGGAAGCAUCCCGAACCAUCGGGAAAGGCUAAAUACUUUCUGUGACCGAUAGUGAACUAGUACCGUGAGGGAAAGGUGAAAAGAACCCCUGCGAGGGGAGUGAAAUAGAUUCUGAAACUAUGUGCCUACAAACAGUCGGAGUCCUGUUAACAGGAUGACGGCGUGCCUAUUGAAGAAUGAGUCUGCGAGUUAUUUUGCAUUGCGAGGUUAAGGUGUUCUGCACCGGAGCCGUAGGGAAACCGAGUCUUAACAGGGCGUUUAGUAAUGUAAAAUAGACCCGAAACCGUGUGAUCUAACCAUGAGCAGGUUGAAGUCUCAAGAAAUUGAGACGGAGGACCGAACUGGUUAACGUCGAAAAGUUAUCAGAUGACUUGUGGUUAGGGGUGACACGCCAACCGAACACGGAGAUAGCUGGCUCUCCUCGAAAUAGUUUUUGGACUAGCCCUGAAUUUUAAGUAUGAGAGGGUAGAGCACUGAAAGGGCUUUGGGGGUUUCCUACCAAGCUCUAUCAAACUCCGAAUAUCUCAUACGUAUUUUCAGGAGUCAGACUACGGGAGAUAAGUUCCGUCAGUCGAGAGGGAAACAGCCCAGAGUAUCAGAUAAGGUCCCAAAAUCUAUGCUAAGUGGAAAAGGAUGUAGGAUUUCUUUGACAGCCAGGAGGUUUGCUUGGAGGCAGCAAUCCUUUAAAGAGUGCGUAAUAGCUCACUGGUCAAGAGGUCCUGCGCCGACAAUGAUCGGGGCUCAAGCAUAGUACCGAAGCUGUAUCUUUUUAAUCGAUACUUGUUAUCGAUUAAAAAGGGUAGAGGAGUGUUGUAUAAGCAGCGAAGUUACAUCGUGAGGUGUAGUGGAGCUUAUACAAGUACGGAUGCAGACAUGAGUAGCGAGAUUCAGGUGAAAAACCUGGACACCGGAUGCUCAAGGUUUCCGCAGCCAUGCUAAUCAUCUGCGGGUUAGUCGGUCCUAAGCUGAGGCCGAAAGGCGUAGGCGAUGGAUGACAGGUUAAUAUUCCUGUACUAGUGGUUUAGCGUUAUUAACUAAGGAGCUUCGAUCUGGAGUAUAUGUAGUGGUGGUAGGUCACCAUGCAAGUAGCAAGGUAGAAGUCUCAGGCAAAUCCGGGAUUUCGUUUCUCCUCAACUGAGGAGAUGUAUCUGAGCUGCGACGCCUAGAAUAGGAAUACGUUUCUAUUCGAGUACAUAAAUUCAGGUCGCUGGAAAAACUUCUAUGUGAGUUAAACCGCUAACCGUACCGUAAACCGACACAGGUGAGCUGGUAGAGUAUACCAAGGUGGACGAGUUAGUCUUCGUCAAGGAAUUCGGCAAAAUGGUUCUGUAACUUAGGGAGAAAGAACGUCUCGAUAUCUUCGAGAUCUCAGUAAAAAGGUCCAACCGACUGUUUAACUAAAACACAGGUAUGUGCAAACACGUAAGUGGAAGUAUACAUACUGACGUCUGCCCAAUGCCAGAAUAUCAAAGGAGAGGGUGACUACGACUUGUCGUAGAGGCUCUUGACUUAAGUACUGGUGAAUGGCGGCUGUAACUCUGACGGUCCUAAGGUAGCGAAAUUCCUCGGCGCUUAAUAGGCGUCCCGCACGAAAGACGUAACGAGUUGGACACUGUCUUGACGGAGAGCUCGGCGAAAAUGAAAUGGCUGUGAAGAUGCGGCCUUAUCACACUAGGACAAAAAGACCCCAGGAGCUUUACUGCAGCUAGGUAUUGAUUUAGGUUCUUCAUUGCAGAGCGUAGGGAGGAGACGUUGAAGUACCGAUUCUGGUCGGUAUGGAGUCGACAAUGAAACACUUCCCUUUGAUGGAUCUGAAUCUUAUUGGUUCCGUUAUCCGGAAAUCAAAACAGUGCUUGGUAGGCAGUUUAACUGGGGCGGUUUCUUACUAAAGAGUAACGUAAGAUUUCAAAGGUCACCUCAGGUUGUAUGGAAACCAACUGAAGAGUGCAAAGGCAUAAGGUGGCUUUACUGUGAGACUGACAGGUCGAGCAGUUACGAAAGUAGGACUUAGUGACCCUUUCGUGGCUAAUGGAAGCGCGAUUGUUCAAAGGAUAAAAGUUACCCUGGGGAUAACAGGCUAGUCUUGCCCGAGCGUCCAUAGCGACGGCAAGGUUCGGCACCUCGAUGUCGGCUCAUCACAUCCUGGGGGUGUAUCAGCUCCCAAGGGUUCGGCUGUUCGCCGAUUAAAGUGGUACGCGAGCUGGGUUCAAACCGACGUAAGUCAGGUUGGUCUCUAUCCAGUGUGAUCGUUCGAGUUUUGAGGAGGCUCACUCUUAGUACGCAAGGACCAGAGUGAGGCAACCUCUGGUGUACCAGUUGUUCUACCAAGAGCACCGCUGGGUAGCUACGUUGCUAUUAGAAUAACCACUGAAAGCAUCUAAGUGGGAAGUCUUCUCCAAGAUUAAAACUCGUCAUUAGGUUCCCAGUAGACUACUGGGUUGAUAGGCACCAGAUGUAAGCUCUGUAAGGAGUGCAGUCAAGGUGUACUAAUAAACCGAAAGCUUCA